rnacentral:rRNA from 1 species
AUUGAACGCUGGCGGCAGGCUUAACACAUGCAAGUCGAGCGGGGGAAGGUAGCUUGCUACCGGACCUAGCGGCGGACGGGUGAGUAAUGCUUAGGAAUCUGCCUAUUAGUGGGGGACAACAUCUCGAAAGGGAUGCUAAUACCGCAUACGUCCUACGGGAGAAAGCAGGGGAUCUUCGGACCUUGCGCUAAUAGAUGAGCCUAAGUCGGAUUAGCUAGUUGGUGGGGUAAAGGCCUACCAAGGCGACGAUCUGUAGCGGGUCUGAGAGGAUGAUCCGCCACACUGGGACUGAGACACGGCCCAGACUCCGACGGGAGGCAGCAGUGGGGAAUAUUUGACAAUGGGGGGAACCCUGAUCCAGCCAUGCCGCGUGUGUGAAGAAGGCCUUAUGGUUGUAAAGCACUUUAAGCGAGGAGGAGGCUACUCUAGUUAAUACCUAGGGAUAGUGGACGUUACUCGCAGAAUAAGCACCGGCUAACUCUGUGCCAGCAGCCGCAGUAA